rnacentral:lncRNA from 1 species
AGGAUUUACAGGUUUCCAGAAAGGUACAGAAAGUGGUGGGCCACUGCAGCUAAACACAGUGUUUGGAAUCUGCCACAGGUCUCGCACCUCUCCAGUCUUGCAAUAAUUCUUCAUAUGAUGGUCAGAGAGGCGAUUAGAAGGCAAAUGUGGAUAAAUUCUUCUCGUGAGGAGCUCACCCAAGAGGACUCGAGGUUGUGCCCCGUGUGUAAACCAUGGGGAAAUCAUGCACAUGCAGGUAAGGACCCUGGCCUAAACCGCCAGCUCACCCAUCUUCUCAGCCCGCCCUCCAGUACCACAGCCCUGCCGGAGACCAUCUAUUCCUUACCUGCUGACUGGACUUUCUUCACAUAAGAACCCCAGAGUGGCACUGCUAAGUCUAACCCAUGCCUGCAGCCUACCAAAGACUUUCUUUCACAAUGGACUGUGAUGUGGGUAUGUGAGGCGGAGAAACCUUUUCUUUCCUAAGCUGUUUUUUGGUCCUGGUGCUUAUCACAACCAUGGGAAGCAAACUAGGAUGGUAAAGCCAUUUUUAACUUUCAGGUUAUGAUGCAGAGCACCUCACAAUGGAAUUCUC